rnacentral:rRNA from 1 species
GAUGAACGCUGGCGGCGUGCCUAAUACAUGCAAGUCGAGCGAACAGACGAGGAGCUUGCUCCUCUGACGUUAGCGGCGGACGGGUGAGUAACACGUGGAUAACCUACCUAUAAGACUGGGAUAACUUCGGGAAACCGGAGCUAAUACCGGAUAAUAUAUUGAACCGCAUGGUUCAAAAGUGAAAGACGGUUUUGCUGUCACUUAUAGAUGGAUCCGCGCUGCAUUAGCUAGUUGGUAAGGUAACGGCUUACCAAGGCAACGAUUCGUAGCCGACCUGAGAGGGUGAUCGGCCACACUGGAACUGAGACACGGUCCAGACUCCUACGGGAGGCAGCAGUAGGGAAUCUUCCGCAAUGGGCGAAAGCCUGACGGAGCAACGCCGCGUGAGUGAUGAAGGUCUUCGGAUCGUAAAACUCUGUUAUUGGGGAAGAACAAAUGUGUAAGUAACUAUGCACGUCUUGACGGUACCUAAUCAGAAAGCCACGGCUAACUACGUG